UUUCCGUAGGUGAACCUGCGGAAGGAUCAUUAUUGAAUUUAAUGUAGAGUUGGUUGUAGCUGGCCCAAUUUAAUUAUUUUGGGCAUGUGCACACUUUCUCUUUCAUCCACACACACCUGUGCACCUGUGAGACAGAAGUGGGACUUUUAAUUUAAUUUAAUUGGACCCUCUGUCUACUCAAUCCACACAAACCCAAUUUAUUUUAAAAUGAAUGUAACUGGAUGUAACACAUCUAAUACUAAGUUUCAACAACGGAUCUCUUGGCUCUCGCAUCGAUGAAGAACGCAGC
rnacentral:misc_RNA from 1 species